rfam:Schistocephalus solidus strain NST_G2 genome assembly, scaffold: SSLN_scaffold0001464
GGCCUCGUAGCUCAGUUUGCUAGAGCGUUGGCUGUAUUAAAGCCUUCCCCUUGCUGACGUGGGUUCGAAUCCCACCGAGACCG